UAGGGAAUCUUCGGCAAUGGACGGAANNNUGGACCGAGCAACGCCGCGUGAGUGAAGAAGGUUUUCGGAUCGUAAAGCUCUGUUGUAAGAGAAGAACGAGUGUGAGAGUGGAAAGUUCACACUGUGACGGUAUCUUACCAGAAAGGGACGGCUAACUACGUGCCAGCAGCCGCGGUAAUACGUAGGUCCCGAGCGUUGUCCGGAUUUAUUGGGCGUAAAGCGAGCGCAGGCGGUUAGAUAAGUCUGAAGUUAAAGGCUGUGGCUUAACCAUAGUAGGCUUUGGAAACUGUUUAACUUGAGUGCAAGAGGGGAGAGUGGAAUUCCAUGUGUAGCGGUGAAAUGCGUAGAUAUAUGGAGGAACACCGGUGGCGAAAGCGGCUCUCUGGCUUGUAACUGACGCUGAGGCUCGAAAGCGUGGGGAGCAAACAGGAUUAGAUACCCUGGUAGUCCACGCUGUAAACGAUGAGUGCUAGGUGUUAGACCCUUUCCGGGGUUUAGUGCCGUAGCUAACGCAUUAAGCACUCCGCCUGGGGAGUACGACCGCAAGUUG
rnacentral:rRNA from 1 species